AUGUGUGUGUGUGUGUGUGUGUAUGUAUCUAUAUAUAUAUAUAUAUAGAUACAUUGUGCCACUGAUAUAUAUAUAUAUAUAGAUACAUACACACACACACACUG